UUUUUGGAGGGGCCAGUCUGGUGCCAGCAGCCGCGGUAAUUCCAGCUCCAAUAGCGUAUAUUAAAGUUGUUGCAGUUAAAAAGCUCGUAGUUGAAUUUCGGGGUCAGUAGGUUGGUCGUGCCACAGGUAUGAACUGGUCUCACUGAUUCCUCCUUCCUGAUGAACCGUAAUGCCAUUAAUUUGGUGUUGCGGGGAGACUGGACUGUUACUUUGAAAAAAUUAGAGUGUUUAAAGCAGGCUAACGCUUGAAUACAUUAGCAUGGAAUAAUGAAAUAGGACGUUCGGUCUUAUUUUGUUGGUUUCUAAGAUUGACGUAAUGAUUAAUAGGGAUAGUUGGGGGCAUUAGUAUUCAAUUGUCAGAGGUGAAAUUCUUGGAUUUAUUGAAGACUAACUACUGCGAAAGCAUUUGCCAAGGAUGUUUUCAUUAAUCAAGAACGAAAGUUAGGGGAUCGAAGACGAUCAGAUACCGUCGUAGUCUUAACCAUAAACUAUGCCGAUCUAGGGAUCGGGAAGGAUGUUACAAGUUUUUUAAUGACUCAUUCGGCGCCUAACCGGGGAAACAACA
rnacentral:rRNA from 1 species